rnacentral:lncRNA from 1 species
AUCUCAAGUACUUCAUUAAUCAAUAAAAAAAGAGAUUGUUUUAAACACAUACAUGCAAUUUACUUCGAAAAAGGAAUACAUUUCAUAUACUACAAUCAACCAAUAAAGCAAAUUGCUUCAAGUAGCGUGCUAAAUAUGAACUUUACAAAAUCAAAUGUAUUGUCCAAAAGUCUUCAUCAUUAACUUCAAAUGGAUCAAACCGACUUUGGCCACCACUUUUAAUUGCAUCACAAGAAUUUUCCUACACAUUGAAAAAAAUCAAAUAUUAAAUAAAAACCAAUAGAGUGCAAACUAAAGGGAGAAGAUUUCACAUGUAAUUUUCAUACAUUAUGAAUAAUAAUGGAGAUUAUCAUCAGAACUCAUUCGAUACAACACAGGAACAAUAUGUUACUUAAAUUCAAUUCACACACCAGGUGCACUUGCCAAAAUGUUGCAUUCGUGGUAACAUAACAUCACAAAAAUGCAAUACGUGAAAAUAUUCAAUCAGAUCAGAAGCUAGACUACGUUUCUAUUUUGAUAGUGACUCAAAAACAGAACCCUCUAGUUCUAUGUACUAGCAGUAGCACCAAGUGGAAAUCCCUAUGAAAAUGGUGAUACUAAUGCAUAAAAGAGAAUUCACCAUCCCAACAAUAGUACUAAUAUCUUACUUUAGCAUGUAUAAAGAAUAAAUGAAUAAAAAAGUACCCUUCCAAGAAUUGGACUAUGAGUUAGAUCCAAAGGAAUUUGAAAAAAUUUGGUCUCUAGCAGCCUCUGCGUUACUUGAAUCAUCGUAGAAGGAUAAGGUAGCUAACACAUCUAAAUGAGAUAUGAUAGAAGUUAUAAAUUAUAAGGACCUUGACUGAUUCUAUUGUUCCUUCAGUUUGAGUAAUACUUGCGAAAAGUAAACCACUUUGAUGUCAAGGUCACAAUUCUUCAUUGGCACAUCAAACCUAUAAAAGAAAAGAGUAUUGUGAAAUCUUUAGUUAGAAACGUUAUUAGAUACAUUUCUUUAUUUGUGGCGAAACAGAGAAAAGAAAAUAUUUCAGUACGUGUAAUUUUUUAUUUUCUCUCACAAUAUGAGAAUUUUUUUAGCUACAACACUAAUAAACAAUUAUAUUAGAGCAAGCCUGGCUUUGGAUUUCAAUCAAUACAUAUUUUCAGAAAGGAGACCUGCAAGUUGAAUCACAUCUUCUUGUCGGUAAACCACUGCAAAGUUUGAUAAAAGACAAGAAAUUCUUGGAUUAUCCAUUUUAUAGAAGUUUCGAAAGGAGUGGAGCUAGACACAAGAUAACAAUGUCUAGUACUGGCUCCCCUAAACUCGAUACUACAAAAGGCAAGAAUAAUAGUUAGACAUAAAAGAGUGCUUAAGUCUACAAUUGUAUCGAACUAGUGAGUUAGUUGACUAUUACAUAGAUCUCUUAUCAUAUACAAAAAGUAGUAGUACCAAAAAAACAGGGACAAUUUUCAUGUGCAAGAAAAUAUUAUCUUUGACAAGCAUAGCUAUAUUCCAGUAUCAUAGAGCAUGUCUUUGACAAACACAAGUAUCGUUUUGGUGGACGCCAAAUGAUUUUGAAAAACAAAUGUUGGCUAAAAUAGACUAUUAUAGUAGACAAGUAAUUUCACUAUAUUAAGAACAAAUUUACUUAAGACGCAUAUAGAAUAAGUUUUACAUAAAGAGGCAAAUCACAAGUUCCAAAAAAUAUUUUGAUUUUUAGGGGAGAGGGGAGGCCGAUAAUUUCUUCACUUUGUUACUAAGCUUUAAUGAGACGUGAUAGCAACAGACACUAUGCUACAAUAGAAAAUGAUACUUGUAUUCUUUGCUUACUGAAUUUUGUAAAAGAAUUAAACAUAAUAUUUAAAAAGGAUAAUGUCAAUCUAUAGAUAAAUACAUAAUUUUAGACAAGAAAUUGUAGAAUAGCAUGAAAACAUGGAAAUGACAAACUCAACAAUAUUUAAGACUUCCAGGCAAUUUAGACAGAAGGAAAUUAAAUUUCAUAAAAGAGCUUCAAGGGUAGUAUAAAUCAAACAUAUACAUAAUUCAGGAAGAAGUAAUUAAAUCAUGUAAUAUAGGACCAUGAAACUACCUAGACUUUUUUUUUUCACUCUGAGACAAUAAUAGUAUAUGCCCAUUUUACAUACAAGUCAAGAUAUUUUAUCUGCUGCUACUUUGUUCAAAUUGUUCUUCCUCUAACUAAAAUUGUAUAAUUUCUUAUUACACUUCUAUUGAUUCACUAUGUUCAAUCCAAGCAUGUAAUUAUUUAGUCAAAUGUCACCGAUCCAAUUAACAAUUUGUGUAGUCUCAAAAUAUUUGAAUCCUCCAAUAAAAACAAAAGCUUUUAGUUUUAUUCAAGUCAAUCAAGUUGAGUUUCAUCAAAGAACUUUGAUAUAGCUAAAUCCAUGAGUUUCGUAGCUCUUUAUCAUUUAAGUUGAAAGUUCAAAUACCCUUGGCAAUCCCCUACUCUUCCUUCAUUUCCCAGAACAAGCAAAACAAACUUGACUUUUUUUUAAAAAGAAAUGCUUUAUUGACAGGAAUAAAGGUAUUUAAAAGUAGGUAAAAUAAUUUAGACGAUAAAGGCAGUAUAAAAAAAUUCUAAUAUAAUGAUUUCAAGCCUCUCAUGCUAAACCCACAAAUGAUCUAUCCAAAAACUGAGAUUAAAAGAUCUACAAAUCGUUUAACUCAAGUUUUUCCCAAAUUCAUAAGAAAGAAACAAUAUCAUAAAUUCCCUGAGAAAUUCAUUUAUUCUGUAUUCCGAAGCAAAUCUAAAUACUACAAUUUUUUGAUUAAACCGAGAAACUGAAUGAAAGUAGAAUAUCCUGUAUAUGGUCUCAAAAGAAAUAGAAAAAACCUGAAUGCCAAACCUUUCUUGUUGUCUUGAGAAACUGACUUAUGUAACUCAUAUCUUAGGAGGAAUCAAAUAAAGUAAAUUAGAUCUCCUGCUUCUGAAGAGAGUCACAAGUGAAAUCAUUUUCUUCUUUUCCUUUUUUGACGAAGAUUGGGUGCAAUGAACAGUUUUUUUUUCUAAAUCAAGUGAAGAAGGUUGUGGGUUUCAAACCCUAAAGUAAAGGGACAACUGGAAUCGCUUAGACUUUUAGUGAAAAUUUUUAGAGGGGAAGUGAGAAAUUUUAGAGGGAAUAGUUUAAGUGGGAAAUUUUUGUGCUAAUAUUUUUUAAUUCAGACCACGUCUGCACCGCAUUACUUUUAAUGUACCAAGGACAAGGAUAACGCUUGUAAAGUGUUGCUUAAUAUCAGAAUAAGCG